rnacentral:ribozyme from 1 species
UCAUCUUCUUCUUCUUCUACUCACACUGGUUGAUUGAAUCCAUCCUCAAACCUAUCCUACAACUUGUCAUCACAUCACACGCCUACAACAUCAUCAUCAUUCAUCAU